rnacentral:rRNA from 1 species
CCUACGGGCGGCAGCAGUGAGGAAUAUUGGUCAAUGGACGAGAGUCUGAACCAGCUAAUUAGCGUGAAGGAUGACUGCCCUAUGGGUUGUAAACUUCUUUUAUAAAGGAAUAAAACGAGGCACGUGUGCCUUUUUGCAUGUACUUUAUGAAUAAGGAUCGGCUAACUCCGUGCCAGUAGCCGCGGUAAUACGGAGUAUCCGAGCGUUAUCCGGAUUUAGUGGGUUUAAAGGGAGCGUAGAUGGGUUGUUAAGUCAGUUGUGAAAGUUUGCGGCUCAACCGUAAAAUUGCAAUUAAUACUGGCAGUCUUGAGUACAGUUGAGGUGAGCGGAAUUCGUAGUGUAGCAGUGAAAUGCUUAGAUAUCACGAAGAACCCCGAUUGCGAAGGCAGCUUACUAAACUGUGACUGACAUUGAUACUCGAAAGUGUGGGUAUCAAACAGGAUUAGAUACCCUUGUAGUC